rnacentral:lncRNA from 1 species
CACUUUAAUUUUGAGUGUGACUCCAAAUCCAGACCUCCAUGGGUUGAUAAAUUGGAUUUCCAUUGAUUAUUUUUGUGUGAUUUUGUUGUCAGCACAUUCAACUAUGUAAAGAAAAAAGUAUUUCAUAAGAUUAUUUCUUUCAUUCAGAUCUAGGAUGUGUCGUUUAAGUGUUCCCUUUAUUUUUUUGAGCAGUAUAUAUUCAAGAAGCAUGUUUGAAAAAAUACAAUAUUGAACAGAUUUUUAUCGUCAUCCUGUUUUCACACACACACACACACACACACACACACACACACACACACACACACACACACACAAAUAACCUCAAGUUCUCCACUUGGUGAAAGAUGGUCUGUUAGAACGUACAUCAGUGUUUUACGCUUACCGUUACCCUCCUGGACAGAUUCAUGUGUAAUGCUGUUUACCCAGAGACCAAAAGACUGUUCACUUACUUGUUUAACUCAUUCCUAAUCUACUGACCAUCGCCAAACCACAGUUGAGAGAGAAUCAGAGAAGAAGAUGUUUGUGGACAAUGAUGAGUCAGGGACCAUUAUAGGUGACUGAAUGUGUGGGGAUUUAAUGUGUGAAUAAGAGAAAGAGAUUCUGUAUAUAUAAUAAUAAUACAUAGAUAAACUUUACACUUAAGAUCAUAUGACUCCCAUUUCACUUACAAACACGUCUGGGGUUUAAAUAUGCAAUUAAGUCUAUAUAUAUAUUCAACAGACUUGGAUUUCAUAUAGAAAUGCUAUUUUCUGUGUAUUGUUACAUCUGCAUCAGGUUUAAUGGAGACAGAGACAGCACUGUGUCUCCAAGCAUGUUGGGUUUUGUACUCCAUUUUGUUCAGAUUAUUUUGUUGUUGUAAAUAAUAUAUUGUCUUAUUCAAAUAAUAACAAUAUAUGGUGGAUCUGCUGGACAAAAUCACAGUACAUAAGACAAGUUUAUGGAUCAGAGCCUAUAGAAAUGUUAUUGACUCUCUAAAGGGUGGGGGUUGGUAAUGAAGAAGUGGACUAUGCACUGGAGAAAGUCAUGUUGGAGAGGGCUCUGUAUUGUAUUGGGGAGAGGGAUGUGCUAUUAGCAGACAUUCUUAUCCAGAGUAGAGUAGUGAGUGCAUGCAUUUUCAUAACUCACAAUGGUGUCAGAUCAGGUUGCAUAUUGAAUCAAACCAGUAGAAUCCCUGAAUUCACCAGCGCUCCUCACUCCACAACCCACAAUAUGCACAUUCUCCCCUAUCCCCAUCCCCAAGGUUUGUCAUACAAACUGAAAAAGAGACUCGGGGUGAAUAAGGAUCUUACCUGAUUGCUACAGAUCUGAGCACAUCUUCUACAUUUUGAAAAUGUUGUUUCUUCUUGUUCUUCCACAGAAAUUAUAUAAAGAUG